rnacentral:miRNA from 1 species
UCUCCAGCUGUUUUUGGACUACAAUUCCCAUCAUCCCUGACCACGGGUCCUGCUAGCUAAGGGAUGAUGGGAGUUGUAGUCUAAAAACAGCUGGAGA